rnacentral:sRNA from 1 species
GCCGGGCCCGGGGGCACAUGCCUGUAAUCCCAGCGGCUCAGGAGGUUGAGGCAGGAGGAUCGCAAGUUCAAAGUCAGCCUCAGCAAAAGUGAGGCACUAAGCAACUCAGCGAGACCCUGUCUCUA